rnacentral:rRNA from 1 species
GACGAACGCUGGCGGCGUGCUUAACACAUGCAAGUCGAACGGAAAGGCCCUGCUUUUGUGGGGUGCUCGAGUGGCGAACGGGUGAGUAACACGUGAGUAACCUGCCCUUGACUUUGGGAUAACUUCAGGAAACUGGGGCUAAUACCGGAUAGGAGCUCCUGCUGCAUGGUGGGGGUUGGAAAGUUUCGGCGGUUGGGGAUGGACUCGCGGCUUAUCAGCUUGUUGGUGGGGUAGUGGCUUACCAAGGCUUUGACGGGUAGCCGGCCUGAGAGGGUGACCGGCCACAUUGGGACUGAGAUACGGCCCAGAAUCCUACGGGAGGCAGCAGUGGGGAAUAUUGCACAAUGGGCGGAAGCCUGAUGCAGCAACGCCGCGUGCGGGAUGACGGCCUUCGGGUUGUAAACCGCUUUCGCCUGUGACGAAGCGUGAGUGACGGUAAUGGGUAAAGAAGCCCCGGCUAACUACGUG